rnacentral:rRNA from 1 species
AUUGAACGCUGGCGGCAGGCCUAACACAUGCAAGUCGAGCGGAUGAAGGGGGCUUGCGCCUGGAUUCAGCGGCGGACGGGCGAGUAAUGCCUAGGAAUCUGCCUGGUCGUGGGGGAUAACGUCCGGAAACGGGCGCUAAUACCGCAUACGUCCUGAGGGAGAAAGUGGGGGAUCUUCGGACCUCACGCUAUCAGCUGAGCCUAGGUCGGAUUAGCUAGUUGGUGGGGUAAAGGCCUACCAAGGCGACGAUCCGUAACUGGUCUGAGAGGAUGAUCAGUCACACUGGAACUGAGACACGGUCCAGACUCCUACGGGAGGCAGCAGUGGGGAAUAUUGGACAAUGGGCGAAAGCCUGAUCCAGCCAUGCCGCGUGUGUGAAGAAGGUCUUCGGAUUGUAAAGCACUUUAAGUUGGGAGGAAGGGCAGUAAGUUAAUACCUUGCUGUCUUGACGUUACCAACAGAAGAAGCAGCGGCUAACUUCGUG